UACGAAGGGGGCUAGCGUUGUUCGGAAUUACUGGGCGUAAAGCGCGCGCAGGCGGCUAUCCAAGUCAGUGGUGAAAGCCCGGAGCUUAACUCCGGAACUGCCAUUGAAACUGUUUAGCUUGAGUAUGAGAGAGGUGAGUGGAAUUCCCAGUGUAGAGGUGAAAUUCGUAGAUAUUGGGAAGAACACCGGUGGCGAAGGCGGCCUGCUGGGCAGUAGCUGACGCUGAGGCGCGACAGCGUGGGGAGCGAACAGG
rnacentral:rRNA from 1 species